UGCCAGCCGCCGCGGUAAUACGGAGGGUGCAAGCGUUAUCCGGAAUCACUGGGUUUAAAGGGUGCGUAGGCGGCAUUAUAAGUCAGAGGUGAAAGGCCACCGCUUAACGGUGGGACUGCCUUUGAUACUGUAGAGCUUGAAUAAGGUUGAGGUUAGCGGAAUGAGUCAUGUAGCGGUGAAAUGCAUAGAUAUGACUUAGAACACCAAUUGCGAAGGCAGCUGGCUAGACCUUUUAUUGACGCUGAGGCACGAAAGCGUGGGGAGCGAACAGGAUUAGAUA
rnacentral:rRNA from 1 species